AAACCGGGAGGAAGGUGGGGAUGACGUCAAGUCCUCAUGGCCCUUAUGCCCAGGGCUACACACGUGCUACAAUGGGCGGUACAAAGGGUAGCGAUGCCGCGAGGUGAAGCCAAUCCCAAAAAGCCGUCCACAGUUCGGAUUGGAGUCUGCAACUCGACUCCAUGAAGCCGGAAUCGCUAGUAAUCGUGGAUCAGCAUGCCACGGUGAAUACGUUCCCGGGCCUU
rnacentral:rRNA from 1 species